CCAUGUUUGUCCCUGGCAAAGUGGGUUUUGCGCAGUGGCUUAGACCUGGAGGAGGAGUCGUGGCGUGCAGGAAACCAUUACAGCACCGCUCGGGCCGUGCUCUCUGGCUGCUGCUGCUACCCCUGCCCUUGCCUCCGGUGCACAUUAAAGAUCCACAACCAUGACUGCCUCCAAAUACGUCACAACCAAUAAAAAAGGAGAAGUCUUUGAAUUAAAGGCUGAACUCAACAGUGAAAAGAAAGAAAAGAAGAAGGAGGCUGUGAAGAAAGUGAUUGCUGCUAUGACUGUGGGGAAAGAUGUGAG